UACGAAGGGGCUAGCGUUGCUCGGAAUCACUGGGCGUAAAGGGUGCGUAGGCGGGUCUUUAAGUCAGGGUGAAAUCCUGGAGCUCAACUCCAGAACUGCCUUGAUACUGAAGAUCUUGAGUUCGGGAGAGGUGAGUGGAACUGCGAGUGUAGAGGUGAAAUUCGUAGAUAUUCGCAAGAACACCAGUGGCGAAGGCGGCUCACUGGCCCGAUACUGACGCUGAGGCACGAAAGCGUGGGGAGCAAACAGG
rnacentral:rRNA from 1 species